CGCCAUACCCUCCCUCCCACCAUGGACCCGUCCACAUGGUGUUCUGUCACAUCAGAGCCUUUCUCCCCACCCAGGGCUAUUAUUGGUUAGUGACUUUCUGACCAAAGAAAGCCCAAGGGCGUGGCCACCUCAGGGACAGGUAUAUAAAGGGAGGUCAGGCCCACACACGGCAGACAGCUGAGAGGAGCUCCCAGGAGAAGCAUGGCCAGGUACCCAGCAGGGCAGAGCACAGGACCAAGGACCAGGCUGAGAAAGAAGAGAAGAGCAAUUCCUGUGCCUAAACUGAAGGGAAAGGUGGCCAAGAAGUCAAGCAGGGCCAGGAGACCCAGUCCCCAGGCAAGGAAGAAGUUGUCUACCCAAGCAUCGCCACCUGCUCCUGGACACCAAAGAGGAAGAAAGCCCCAUCAGGGUUUGGCAGUCCUCAGCACCCACAGUGGGAGGGGCCCAAGCAAGAUGCUCCAGGGCAGCAGCAGCUCCCUGGGAGCCCAGAGAAGUCCAUCCUCAUGCGAGCUGGUAUGGAAACCCCACACCAGGAGAGGCCUAAAGAGAAGCCCUGCCAAGCUGGGCCUCAACAGGUCCACCCGAGGCCCUGGAGCCCCAGCCCCACACUAGGCAAUGCAAGAGUGCCAGGCCAAGAGAGGUGGCCAGAGGUCUGCCUGCUUCUGCCUCUACCUCCACUGAGGUAGUCCUGAAGCUGUCCGCCUACACUUCCCUGUGAUAGGGGCAAUAAACUACCUCCUGGGGACCUGAGAAUGUGUCUGUGUGCUCUCUGGAGGAGGGGCGGGGGCAAGGGAGGGAGAGAACAAGAUGGGAAGGAACUGCAAAUUGGGGUAUGGGUGGAAGUGAGGGAGGGAGAACAAAGGAGGGAGGGGAGGGGCGAGGGAGGAGA
rnacentral:lncRNA from 1 species